AUUGAACGCUGGCGGCAGGCCUAACACAUGCAAGUCGAGCGAGCGGCGGAAGGGUGAGUAAUAUCUGGGAAACUGCCUGAUGGAGGGGGAUAACUACUGGAAACGGUAGCUAAUAACGCAUCCCCUCCAAUGUGCCCCGAUGGGAUUAGCUCGUAGGUGGGGGAACGGCUCACCUCGGCGACGAUCCCUAGCUGGUCUGAGAGGAUGACCCGCCACACUGGAACUGAGACACGGUCCAGACUCCUACGGGAGGCAGCAGUGGGGAAUAUUGCACAAUGGGCGCAAGCCUGAUGCAGCCAUGCCGCGUGUGUGAAGAAGGCCUUCGGGUUGUAAAGCACUUUCAGCGGGGAGGCGUUACCCGCAGAAGAAGCACCGGCUAACUCCGUGCCAGCAGCCGCGGUAAUUC
rnacentral:rRNA from 1 species